AUUGAACGCUGGCGGCAGGCCUAACACAUGCAAGUCGAGCGAGCGGCGGACGGGUGAGUAAUGUCUGGGAAGCUUCCUGAUGGAGGGGGAUAGCUACUGGAAACGGUAGCUAAUACCGCAAACCAUCAUAUGUGGCCAGAUGGGAUUAGCUUGUUGGUGGGGUGAUGGGGUACCUAGCUGACGAUCCCUAGCUGGUCUGCGAGGAUGAGCAGGUGACAGGGAACUUAGACACGGUCCAGACUCCUACUGGACGAAGCAGUGGGGAAUAUGGCACAAUGGGCGAAAGCGUGAAGUAGCGAUGCCGCGGGUGUGAAGAAGGCCUUCGGGUUUUAAAGCACUUUAAGCGGUGAGGCGUUACCUGGAGAAGAAGCACCGGCUAACUCCGUGCCAGCAGCCGCGGUAAUAC
rnacentral:rRNA from 1 species